GGCCUGUUGGUCUAGUCGUAUGAUUGUCGCUUCGGGUUUACCCUUCUACUAAACGUGGAUGUGACAGGUCCUGGGUUCAAUUCCCAGACAGGCCC
rnacentral:tRNA from 1 species